rnacentral:lncRNA from 1 species
CCUCCUCAUACAAUUAAAGCAGAUAAGCUUCUGGAGCAUAUUUUGGAACAUCAGGAGCGGAUGAGGGAGCGACUAUUGACAGACAUACUGUUUGAAAUGCUUUUUGACAGAUCGCUUUAAGUACCGCGUGGUUAAGCAGAUCUUCUCCGGAGGGGACCAGACAUUUGUACUUUGCUCCACAUAUGAGAAUUCUUCUCCUGCUGUUGACUUCAGAACUGUGAACCAAGCACAUUAUACCAACUUAAUAAAUGACGAAACCAUAGCAGUUUGGAGACAAAAGCUCACAGAACACAACAACGCAAAUACAGUCAAUGGUGUUGUUCAGAUACUGUCUUCUGCAGCUUGUUGGAAUGGAAGCUUUCUGGAAAAAAAGUAA